rnacentral:rRNA from 1 species
UUAAACAUGCAAGUCAAGCGGAGUAGCAAUACUCAGCGGCGAACGGGUGAGUAACACGUGGGUAAUCUUCCUCUGAGUCUGGGAUAACUUUCCGAAAGGGAAGCUAAUACUGGAUGGUCCCGAGAGAUCAUAAGAUUUUUCGGGUAAAGAUUUAUUGCUCGGAGAUGAGCCCGCGUCCGAUUAGCUAGUUGGUGAGGUAAAGGCUCACCUUGGCGACGAUCGGUAGCCGGCCUGAGAGGGUGUUCGGCCACAUAUGGAACUGAGACACGGUCCAUACUCCUACGGGAGGCAGCAGUUAAGAAUCUUGCUCAA